CGUGCCCACCGUUCACAGCCGGCUUGACAGCGCCCAGGCGGAAUCAUAAAAGUCAAUUAAUCAUUAAAAGCUGUUACCAGCCCGUAUUGAACCGCUCUGGCACAAAAUGUUAAUCAGUCCCACAUCAAUACUAUAAAUUCCUGCAAAUUGGAGUGGUCGAUAGUGCCGAGGCCCAGCAGGUCGAUGGGAGGGCACAAGACCUCUCCACCAACAUGGCGGCUGGGCAGCUGCCACGUCCUGUCCCAGCCUGCUGGGACUGAGCAGACGCCGAUGCAUCACUGCCCCUGAUGGAUCUGUCAAUAACACCGAGCAGGGGAGGCAGCCCUCCCAGUUUAAUCGCUCGAGGCGCCGUGUGCUGCCGCAUACAUGGGCCAAGGAGGACUUGUGGCCUUCCCGCUGAGACGUGCAGGCCAGACUGUGAUGAGUGGAAGAGCCUGCAGCAGAGAAUCAGUGCCACAAGAAGGACUGUGUCCCGAGAGAGAAGCACUGGGCUCCCUGAGGCUGUCUUGGCAAUGCCCCUGCUGCCUUCUGCUGCUUCUUCUCCCAGGGGGGCAGAGAUCCUUGCCUCCCAUCUACAGGGCUGCCGAAGGCUCAGCUGAGCCCAAUCCAUUUAUCUCCUCUUACUGUUAUUAAAUCUGACCUGCAGUGGGGGAAAAAUAGCAUUUUUAGGAUUGCAGGAUAUUAAGAAGCCUCUUUAGAGAUGAAAGAAAUGCCGGAUUCUGUUACUCCAGGGAAGGUUUGUGUUCUGCCGGUUUCAUUGUCAUUUAACGUAGAACAUAAAGGUUAAUGCUGAAUAAAAUAAUACCCAUGUUGAUUA